CUUUCACGAGGAUCAAUUGGAGGGCAAGUCUGGUGCCAGCAGCCGCGGUAACUCCAGCUCCAAUAGCGUAUAUUAAAGUUGCUGCAGUUAAAAAGCUCGUAGUUGGAUCUCGGUAGCAUUGUUGCCUGCUCAGUUGUCAUGCUCUGCGGCGUGCAUCAUAUCGUGUUUGUUUGCAUUAUCCACGCUCUCUCCUGAGGGCCGGGUGUGUGGGCAUCGCGGUGGGUGUACACUAAAACCGUAGUGUAUUGAGCUGGCGUGGCGAUGGUGUCACCUUUGAGCCAUGUCUGUGGUCUAACAGCCACAGGUGUAAUCGGGUGUCGGGCAGUGCUCUGCUCCUUUUGUGGAGCCUAGUCGGCUCGGUUGCAUGCCAAUGAAUGCCCUUCAAAAGGUGUUCAUGGGCGGAUGGCACGUUUACUUUGAACAAAUUUGAGUGCUCAAAUCAGGCCGACGUUGCCUGAAAAGUUUUGCAUGGAAUAAUGGAAUAGGACUUCGGUUCUAUUUCGUUGGUUUUCGGAUCCGAAGUAAUGAUCAAAAGAGACAGGCGGGGACGUUUGUAUGGCUGCGUUAGAGGUGAAAUUCAUGGACCGUAGCCAGACAAACUAAAGCGAAAGCAUUCGUCAAGCAUGUUUUCAUUGGCCAUGAGCGAAAGUCAGAGGCUCGAAGACGAUCAGAUACCGUCCUAGUUCUGACCAUAAACGAUGCCAA
rnacentral:ncRNA from 1 species